rnacentral:rRNA from 1 species
ACGAGUGGCGGACGGGUGAGUAAUGUCUGGGAAACUGCCCGAUGGAGGGGGAUAACUACUGGAAACGGUAGCUAAUACCGCAUAACGUCGCAAGACCAAAGAGGGGGACCUUAGGGCCUCUUGCCAUCGGAUGUGCCCAGAUGGGGUUAGCUAGUAGGUGGGGUAAAGGCUCACCUAGGCGACGAUCCCUAGCUGGUCUGAGAGGAUGACCAGCCACACUGGAACUGAGACACGGUCCAG